rnacentral:lncRNA from 1 species
CCAAACAUUCAUGGCAUAAUCCAAAAAAUUCAUGAAAAAAUCCAACAAUAACACAAUUCUUUAACAAAUAAUCUUCUAAUAAGCAACACAUUUCUUUAACAAACUCAUUUAUCUUUCCAAAUUCAUCAUCUUCCCUCUAUCAACAACACAAACACAUCUUAAAAAAUAAAAAAAAAUCUGGAAACGCAAUAACAAAAAACAGUUCAUCAUCUUCCCCUUCAAUUAAAACCCAUUUAUCUUUAGAUUCUUCAUAUUCCAACAAUAACAGCCCAACACCAGCAACAUCCCUCAAAUCCCCAAGCCCCAAAUUCAAAAACCCAUUUUCAGAUCAACAAAAACAUAAAUUUGGAUAGCCCUAGAUCCAAAUUUAUUUUCAGAAAAUUUGCAAAACAAGGUUCCAAUUUGAAACCCAUAAAUUCAUCUAAAGAAGAACAGAUCUAGAAUGGAAGAGGGAGAUCACUAGCCAUCAAUUUGUGGUGGCAGGGAACCAAAUUUAAGACCUUCUGCAUCAGACUUGUUACUGGUAUUUUGCACAUCUUCCUCCCCUUCAGCCAACUUACUAAUAUUCAAUUAUAAUUACAGACAUUGAAUUUGUUUGCUCUUUUAACUUAAUUUUCCUUCAAAAUCAUUAUAGUGAUUCUGCCUAUUGUCUGCAGCAUCCAUUCAUCACUUGCGAGUAUCAGGAAUCUUGUUCAAUAUCACGCGAAUAAGGGUUCCAAUCGAGUUUGUGUGUGAAGGAGAUUGAGCGGAAUUUUUUUUGGGAAUUGUGAGAGAAGAAGACGACGAGGGCAAGGAAGAGGAAGAAGAUAGAGAAAAAAAACUGGGAUGUAAGAGGAUGAAGAAGGG